rnacentral:rRNA from 1 species
UACAGAGGGGCAAGCGUUGUUCGGAAUUACUGGGCGUAAAGGGCGCGUAGGCGGCCCGUCAAGUCCCGUGUGAAAGCCCCGGCUCAACCGGGGAACUGCACGGGAAACUAGCAGGCUUGAGUUCGGGAGAGGGAAGCGGAAUUUCGGGUGUAGCGGUGAAAUGCGCAGAUAUCCGAAGGAACACCGGUGGCGAAGGCGGCUUCCUGGACCGACACUGACGCUGAGGCGCGAAAGCGUGGGGAGCAAACAGG